rnacentral:rRNA from 1 species
GACGAACGCUGGCGGCGUGCCUAAUACAUGCAAGUCGAGCGCAGGAAGCCGACGGAACCCUUCGGGGGGAAGUCGACGGAAUGAGCGGCGGACGGGUGAGUAACACGUAAAGAACCUGCCCUCAGGUCUGGGAUAACCACGAGAAAUCGGGGCUAAUACCGGAUGGGUCAUCGGACCGCAUGGUCCGAGGAUGAAAGGCGCUCCGGCGUCGCCUGGGGAUGGCUUUGCGGUGCAUUAGCUAGUUGGUGGGGUAAUGGCCCACCAAGGCGACGAUGCAUAGCCGACCUGAGAGGGUGAUCGGCCACACUGGGACUGAGACACGGCCCAGACUCCUACGGGAGGCAGCAGUAGGGAAUCUUCCACAAUGGACGAAAGUCUGAUGGAGCAACGCCGCGUGAACGAUGAAGGCCUUCGGGUCGUAAAGUUCUGUUGUAAGGGAAGAACAAGUGCCGCAGGCAAUGGCGGCACCUUGACGGUACCUUGCGAGAAAGCCACGGCUAACUACGUGCCAGCCGCCGCCGUAACAC